UUAUGUACAUUUAAACAAAAUGGAGGCUCUUUAGUUUUAUUCGAAUGGCCAUUGGAAUAAAACUAAAGAGCCUCCAUUUUGUUUAAAUGUACAUAG